rnacentral:rRNA from 1 species
AACGAACGCUGGUGGCAGGCCUAAUACAUGCAAGUCGAACGCUCCAGCAAUGGAGAGUGGCAGACGGGUGAGUAACGCGUGGGAACCUUCCCAGUGGUACGGAAUAGCUCAGGGAAACUUGAGGUAAUACCGUAUACGCCCCAAGGGGGAAAGAUUUAUCGCCAUUGGAUGGGCCCGCGUCGGAUUAGCUAGUUGGUGGGGUAAUGGCCUACCAAGGCGACGAUCCGUAGCUGGUCUGAGAGGAUGAUCAGCCACACUGGGACUGAGACACGGCCCAGACUCCUACGGAAGGCAGCAGUGGGGAAUAUUGGACAAUGGGCGCAAGCCUGAUCCAGCAAUGCCGCGUGAGUGAUGAAGGCCUUCGGGUUGUAAAGUUCUUUCGCCCGCGACGAUGAUGACGGUAGCGGGAGAAGAAGCCCCGGCUAACUUCGUGCCAGCCGCCGCCGUAACAC